GCGAGUAUAGCUUAACGGUUAAAGUACCAGGUUGUGGUUCUGGUGAUACGAGUUCAAUUCUCGUUAUUCGCC
rnacentral:tRNA from 1 species